rnacentral:rRNA from 1 species
UACGUAGGGUGCAAGCGUUGUCCGGAAUUACUGGGCGUAAAGCGCGCGCAGGCGGCUAUCCAAGUCAGUGGUGAAAGCCCGGAGCUCAACUCCGGAACUGCCAUUGAAACUGUUUAGCUUGAGGAUGAGAGAGGUGAGUGGAAUUCCGAGUGUAGAGGUGAAAUUCGUAGAUAUUCGGAAGAACACCAGUGGCGAAGGCGACUCACUGGACACGUAUUGACGCUGAGGUGCGAAAGCGUGGGGAGCAAACAGGG